CAGUAGCCACGGUAAUACGAAGGGGGCUAGCGUUGUUCGGAUUUACUGGGCGUAAAGCGCACGUAGGCGGAUCGAUCAGUCAGGGGUGAAAUCCCAGAGCUCAACUCUGGAACUGCCUUUGAUACUGUCGAUCUGGAGUAUGGAAGAGGUGAGUGGAAUUCCGAGUGUAGAGGUGAAAUUCGUAGAUAUUCGGAGGAACACCAGUGGCGAAGGCGGCUCACUGGUCCAUUACUGACGCUGAGGUGCGAAAGCGUGGGGAGCAAACAGGAUUAGAGACCCCAGUAGUCCCUGUCUCUUAUAC
rnacentral:rRNA from 1 species